UGGGGAAUAUUGGACAAUGGGGGGCAACCCUGAUCCAGCAAUGCCGCGUGUGUGAAGAAGGUCUUCGGAUUGUAAAGCACUUUCGACGGGGACGAUGAUGACGGUACCCGUAGAAGAAGCCCCGGCUAACUUCGUGCCAGCAGCCGCGGUAAUACGAAGGGGGCUAGCGUUGCUCGGAAUGACUGGGCGUAAAGGGCGUGUAGGCGGUUUACACAGUCAGAUGUGAAAUCCCCGGGCUUAACCUGGGAGCUGCAUUUGAUACGUGUAGACUAGAGUGUGAGAGAGGGUUGUGGAAUUCCCCAGUGUAGAGGUGAA
rnacentral:rRNA from 1 species